rnacentral:rRNA from 2 species
GAAUGCUGACAUAAGUAACGAUAAAGCGGGUGAAAAGCCCGCUCGCCGGAAGACCAAGGGUUCCUGUCCAACGUUAAUCGGGGCAGGGUGAGUCGACCCCUAAGGCGAGGCCGAAAGGCGUAGUCGAUGGGAAACGGGUUAAUAUUCCCGUACUUGGUGUUACUGCGAAGGGGGGACGGAGAAGGCUAUGUUGGCCGGGCGACGGUUGUCCCGGUUUA